rnacentral:rRNA from 1 species
AGUGAACGCUGGCGGCAGGCCUAACACAUGCAAGUCGAGCGGCAGCGGGUCCUUCGGGAUGCCGGCGAGCGGCGGACGGGUGAGGAAUGCGUCGGAAUCUGCCUUUUUGUGGGGGAUAACGUAGGGAAACUUACGCUAAUACCGCAUACGACCUACGGGUGAAAGUGGGGGACCGCAAGGCCUCACGCAGAAAGAUGAGCCGACGUCGGAUUAGCUAGUUGGCGGGGUAAAGGCCCACCAAGGCGACGAUCCGUAGCUGGUCUGAGAGGAUGAUCAGCCACACUGGAACUGAGACGCGGUCCAGACUCCUACGGGAGGCAGCAGUGGGGAAUAUUGGACAAUGGGCGCAAGCCUGAUCCAGCCAUGCCGCGUGUGUGAAGAAGGCCUUCGGGUUGUAAAGCACUUUUGUCCGGAAAGAAAUCCUGUCGGCUAAUACCCGGCGGGGAUGACGGUACCGGAAGAAUAAGCACCGGCUAACUUCGUG